AGUCUUCGGACUGCGGAAGAGUGGCGAACGGGUGAGGAACACGUAAGAAUCUGCCCCUCGGUCGGGGACAACUCUUGGAAACGAGAGCUAAUACCCGAUACGCUGUGGAGUGAAAGAAUUUCGCCGAGGGAUGAUCUUGCGUCUGAUUAGCUAGUUGGUGUGGUAACUGCACACCAAGGCGACGAUCAGUAGCUGGUCUGAGAGGAUGGACAGCCACAUUGGAACUGAGACACGGUCCAAACUCCUACGGGAGGCAGCAGUGGGGAAUUUUCCGCAAUGGACGAAAGUCUGACGGAGCGACGCUGCGUGAAGGAUGACGGCCCGCGGGUUGUAAACUUCUUUUCUCGAAGAAGAAACAAAUGACGGUAUUCGAGGAAUAAGCAUCGGCUAACUCCGUGCCAGCAGCCGCGGUAAGACGGAGGAUGCAAGUGUUAUUCGGAAUGAUUGGGCGUAAAGAGUCUGUAGGCUGUAUAGAAAGUCUUUUGUUAAAUUCCUCAGCUCAACCGAGAUCAAGCAAAGGAAACUUUUAUACUUGAGGGAAGUAGAGGUACAGGGAAUUCCCGG
rnacentral:rRNA from 1 species